rnacentral:rRNA from 1 species
AUGGAGUUUGCCAGGGGGACAACGGACUACACAGUGCAAGUAUAUGUGCUACAGGAUGGUGAGUGGUGCAAGCAUACUUCGGCCACGACAAAGCUCACUCUUCGUCCACGGUGUGAACCGAAAGCCGUGCUGGUCAAAAAUAAAAUCUAUGUGCUGGCUGACCUGACAGACAUUAUCAUUAUGGAUUUGACAAACUCAUGUUUGUCCACAAUUCAGCUCCCAGAAGGACUAGAGAAUGGCUUUUCAGACAUUGCGCUGUCACGGGCCGAUGAUUCUUCGGAUGUAUAUUUCAUCCAUGCCAAGGGGCUACAACUCGGCAUCUGGCUCCACAAGGGGGACUGCUGGUUUGCAGUGGAUACCAUUUGUUUGAGGAAGUUAGAUCAUUCGCUUGAGGACGAGCAUAUUGAUCAUGUUCAGGUAAGCUGUGUAGGAGACAAUGCUGAAUUUCUGUUCUUGAUAAUGGGUCGAUGCACAUUCUAUCUGGAUAUCAAGAGCAGGACACUGCGUAAAGUGCAUGAGAGGACAGAUGAUUAUAGGUUUCCAGCUACUUUACACCCUUUCAUGAUGAUCUGGCCUCCCGCAUUCCCUAUAUAUGUUCAAGGAUGA